AUGGCCAUGGAGAGGUUUCUGACUGCGCUUGUCUUCUGCGAGGUGCCCCUCGACGGAUACAGCUUGUCCGUGAUGACAUCCUCCAGGGUGGUCAAGCCGCUGGUCUCCUGUGGAUCGAUGAAGCCGGCAGUUGAUGUGCCGAAGGCUAACGAUGCAUACACCUGGAAGAAGCCUGGAUUCUAUGGCGAGAUGACGACGCAGCGGUGUGCUGGGUAUGAGCUUGCGUUCGAUGGUCUCAACUGCUUCGACACCGUCGUCAUGCACCAAGCAUGA
rnacentral:rRNA from 1 species